rnacentral:rRNA from 1 species
AUUUUGGACAAUGGGGGAAACCCUGAUCCAGUCAUCCCGCGUGUAUGAUGAAGGCCUUCGGGUUGUAUAUUACUUUUGGCAGAGAAGAAAAGGUAUCUCCUAAUACGAGAUACUGCUGACGGUAUCUGCUGAAUAAGUACCGGCUAACUAUGUGCCAGCAGCAGCGGCAAUACGUAGGGUGCAAGCUUUAAUCGGAAUUACUGUGCGUAAAGGGUUUGUAGGCGGUUCGGAAAGAAAGAUGUGAAACCCCAGGGCUCAACCUUGGAACUGCAUUUUUAACUGCCGAGCUAGAGUAUGUCAGAGGGGGGUAGAAUUACACGUGUAGCAGUGAAAUGCGUAGAUAUGUGGAGGAAUACCGAUGGCGAAGGCAGCCCCCUGGGAUAAUACUGACGCUCAGACACGAAAGCGUGGGGAGCAAACA